rnacentral:tRNA from 1 species
UGGGGUGUAGUUCAAUGGUGGAAUGCUUGUCUAGCAUGCAUGAGGCCCAGGGUUGGAUCCCCAGCACUGCAA